GGCGGCUCUAGCGGGACGGUCCCAGGAGAGGCUGAGGAAGGAGGAAGGCUGGAGGGCAGAAUAUUAGCACCACCGUGAAUCCCUGUGCACCGACAUGCUUAGAACAGUGCACCUGGCAGGUGCUCAGUAAAGACUGGUUGAGAGAUGGCCUUCAGAUAGAUGGACCAACAUGUGCCAACUACUGUCCUAGGUGCUGGAAAACCUUGCUACCCACACUACGGCCAUGAGAAGUAAGGUGGCCAACAGUUUGGAACUACGGCAAACUCUUGUAGGGCCAAGACAGACUUUGAGAAAGCAGCACCACGAAUUCGGAAAGAGACACAGG